rnacentral:ncRNA from 1 species
GAAGCUCGAAGGCGAUUAUGUUAUUUCCUUUCAAGCUUCGCACCUUGUUCUCCACGUGCUCCGCUAGAAAUAUACUCGAGACCGAUAGCACGAAAGUACCGUGAGGGAAAGGUGAAAAGAACUUUGAGAAGAGGGUUAAGUAGUGCCUGAAAUCAUUGAGAAGGUAGCGGGUGCCGCCGUCGCAUAUGCUGAUUGUAGGAUUGAUGCUCGCUUCUCUCUUCUGCUACCCAUUCACAGACAAAAUACAUGGUAACUAAUAAGAUGUUUGAAAGACCUGCAGUUCACACGUAGUGAGUCGCCGCUGACACUGGAAUAGCCCAAUAUAUGAUCCCAUGGUGUUGAAGCGAUGGUGCAACGGGAAGAGGCCGAGGAAUGAAUGAUACGUUGUAGCUGGCAGUAUGAAGUGUGACUGAGUGCAGAUUAGCUGUAUUUGAUUUAUCCCAUAA